UACGUAGGGGGCGAGCGUUGUCCGGAAUUACUGGGCGUAAAGGGUACGCAGGCGGUUUGAUAAGUCAGGUGUGAAAGACCGCAGCCUAACUGCGGGGUGGCACUUGAAACUGGAUAUCUUGAGGGCAGGAGAGGGCAGUGGAAUUCCUGGUGUAGCGGUGAAAUGCGUAGAUAUCUGGAAGAACACCAGUGGCGAAGGCGGCUCUCUGGCCUAGGACUGACGCUAAGGCGCGAAAGCGUGGGGAGCAAACAGG
rnacentral:rRNA from 1 species